GACGAACGCUGGCGGCGUGCCUAAUACAUGCAAGUUGAGCGCUGAAGGUUGGUACUUGUACCAACUGGUUGAGCAGCAAACGUGUGAGUAACGCGUCGGGAAUCUGCCUUUGAGCGGGGGACAACAUUUGGAAACGAAUGCUAAUACCGCAAAAAAACUUUAAACACAAGUUUUAAGUUUGAAAGAUGCAAUUGCAUCACUCAAAGAUGAUCUCGCGGUGUAUUAGCUAGUUGGUGAGGUAAAGGCUCACCAAGGCGAUGAUACAUAGCCGACCUGAUAGGGUGAUCGGACCCAAUGGGACUGAGACAAGGCCCAAACUCCUACGGGAGGCAGCAGUAGGGAAUAUUCGGCAAUGGACGAAAGUCUGACCGAGCAAAGCCGCGUGAGUGAAGAAGGUUUUCGGAUCGUAAAACUCUGUUGGUAGAGAAGAACGUUGGUGAGGGGGGAAAGCUCAUCAAGUGACGGUAACUACCGAGAAAGGGACGGCUAACUACGUG
rnacentral:rRNA from 1 species